CGGCUCGGCGUGCAGCUUGCAUGCCUGCAGGUCGACGAUUUUCCGGUUGAUCCUGCCGGAGGCCACUGCUAUCGGGAUUCGACUAAGCCAUGCGAGUCUAUGGUUUCGGCCAUGGCGGACGGCUCAUUAACACGUAGUUAACAUACCGUGAGGUGGGGGAUAACCUUGGGAAACUGAGGCUAAUACCCGAUAGAAAAACCUAGUCUGGAACGAUUCUUUUUCGAAAGCAUACGCUCCUGAGGAUUGGACUGCGCUCUAUUAGGCAGUUGGCGGGGUAACGGCCCACCAAGCCUACGAUCGGUACGGGCCUUGAGAGAGGAAGCCCGGAGAUGGGGACUGAGACACUGCCCCAGGCCCUACGGGGCGCAGCAGGCGCGAAACCUCCGCAAUGCACGAAAGUGCGACGGGGGGAUCCCAAGUGCUCAUGCACAGUGUGGGCUUUUAUCGAGUGUAAAAACCUCGAGGAAUAAAGGCUGGGCAAGACCGGUGCCAGCAGCCGCGGUAACACCGGCGGCCUGAGUGGUGGCCACAAUUACUGGGUUUAAAGCGUCCGUAGCAGGACUUGAAAGUCCUUGUUUAAAUCCUGCGGCCCAACUUCAGGACUGGCAGGGAUACUUCAGGUCUUGGGACCGGGAGAGGACAAGGGAACUUCAGGGGUAGCGGUGAAAUCUGUAGAUCCAUAGAUGGACCACCGGUGGCGAAGGCGCUUGUCUGGAACGGGUCCGACGGUGAGGGACGAAAGCCUAGGGGAGCGAACCGGAUUAGAUACCCGGGUAGUCCUGGUAGUAAACUUUGUGAACGAGGUGUUAGGUGGUCCCCGUGCCCAUCUAGUGCCGAAGGGAAGCCGUUAAGCUCUACCACCUGGGGAGUACGGUCGCAAGACUGAAACUUAAAGGAAUUGGCGGGGGAGCACCACAACGGGUGGAGCCUGCGGUUCAAUUGGAUUCAACGCCGGG
rnacentral:rRNA from 1 species